rnacentral:misc_RNA from 1 species
GAUGAAGAACGUAGCGAAAUGCGAUACUUGGUGUGAAUUGCAGAAUCCCGUGAACCAUCGAGUCUUUGAACGCAAGUUGCGCCCGAAGCCUCGGCUAAGGGCACGUCUGCCUGGGCGUCACGCAUCGCGUCUCCCCCAAACCGCCAAGGCGGAGGGGAAGGAAGAUGGCUUCCCGUGCCUCACCCGGCGCGGUUGGCCUAAAUUUGGAGCCCGCGGCACUUAGCUCACGCGGCGAUAGGUGGUGAACAAGGCCUUGGCCGUGCAAACAACCCGCUGCGAAGCUCUAUGUCACGUGCGCUCGUCGGACCCUUUGAAGUUGCCUUCGGUGACUUAAAACCUUUGCGACCCCAGGUCAGGCGGGGCUACCCGCUGAAUUUAAGCAUAUCAAUAGCGGAGGA